UACCAGCACCCCGAGUGGUUGGGACGUUUAUUGGGCCUAAAGCAUCCGUAGCCGGUUCUACAAGUCUUCCGUUAAAUCCACCUGCUUAACAGAUGGGCUGCGGAAGAUACUAUAGAGCUAGGAGGCGGGAGAGGCAAGCGGUACUCGAUGGGUAGGGGUAAAAUCCGUUGAUCCAUUGAAGACCACCAGUGGCGAAGGCGGCUUGCCAGAACGCGCUCGACGGUGAGGGAUGAAAGCUGGGGGAGCAAACCGG
rnacentral:rRNA from 1 species